AUGUCCUUUUGGCGCAUCUUUUGUUUUCAACACCUCUACUGCAUCAAGGACGGAGAUACCGGAGCGGUACGCGGACACAUGAUCAGGAUUUUCCCUUCAGAAUCACGUCGCCCUCCAGGAGAAAUCUCGCUUCAGCUGCCUGCAUCUGCGUGCAGAGACGGAGCCAUGGAUGAGAGGAAGCUGGAGCAGCAGGUGGCCAGUGUAGGGAGAGGGAUCGCCUUCUUGGAGCAGGAGCACCUGGCCAUGCUGACCGGCCUGCGGCUGGAGAUCACACACCUGAGGAGGCGCUGUCAUGAGCUAAGCUGUGAGUUGGAGUCCAGGUUUCCUGACAGAAUCAUCGGAGAGGAGGAAGCAGAACUGGCCACACGGUGUGAGGCUGCAGUGCUUCUCUUAGAGGACCAGCAGUGCAUGAUGGUCGCCGCGCGUGGGGAGCUGCGGGCCGGCCGGGCCAGAGCGUCAGCCCUGGGAAGAAGCCUCAGAGAAGAGGAGCGGAGUUUCCUGGAGGAGCUGAAGCGCAGGAGCCACCAGAUCACGCUGCUGAAUCGUGAGCUGCAGCAUCAGAAUGUCGUCACCAUGAGCCUCUGCCACGAGUUGCAUUCCGCACGAUUAAAACUGUUCCAACAGCGGCAGAGCGCAGAGACAUCUGGAGAGGAGGAAGCAAGGCGGGAUGAGGAGGAGGAAGAGGAUGACGAAGAGGAGGAGGGCGGUGAUAAUGAAGAUGAAGGAUCGUUGUGGCUUUUGUCCCCACCUCCGCCAGCCUCCCCUCAUCUUCCAGAGGCGAGUCACAGGGGGCGUGUCAGCAGCGUCAGGGAGGAGAGGGUCCGAGCUUGCGUCCCUCAGGAGAGAGUGACAUCGCCUCAAAGGCCACACCCUAUGCCUGACCCCGCCCUCUUCUUGUUUCCACUAAGAUACCGCCUCCUUCGCUAUAACCCUCCAAUCAAAACACCGGACGGAGAUGGGCUGGAGGAUGAAUGGGAGGACAUAGAGGACAUCAGGGUACACAGGCGGGUGGACAUGGAGGCAGGAGAAGGAGAAACUGCACUGUGAUGAUGGUAUUCAAGACUGUGAUGUCUUCCACAAAGUCUCAGUUAACCUGAUGUGAUGUUCCAGAAAAUGGUAAUGAUUGAAGCGGGGCUUUCUGUAGGUUUCAGGUUAAGUAUUUAGAGUUAGUUGGGUGUGUGUGUGAUUUUAGUCACAAGUCAACUUAAAAUGCCCCAUCAGUGGAUCAGAAAAUAAGGAUCAGCACUAAUGGACUUUCCUCUGGACGCCUCUUGAUUAUAACACUGUUGAUCACAGCUUUUGCCCGUAAUUAGUAGCCUUGUCUGUGAGCGUGUAAACAUUUCCAGCCUCUAAAGUGGGCCCCUGAUUUUUCACAGCACCAGUUGUAAUCGAGGGGAAUUGCAUCACUUCUAAAGGCUUUGAUAUAUUUUGUAUAAUUUGCACUUUAUUAAAUCCAUGCAAUGUGGCUAGUAAUGGCCCAGUAAUUGUGGUGUGAGACUGUUUGUUUACAGC
rnacentral:lncRNA from 1 species